AUUGAACGCUGGCGGCAUGCCUUGCACAUGCAAGUCGAACGGCAGCGCGGGAGCAAUCCUGGCGGCGAGUGGCGAACGGGUGAGUAGUGCAUCGGAACGUGCCCAGUUGUGGGGGAUAGCCCGGCGAAAGCCGGAUUAAUACCGCAUGAGACCUGAGGGUGAAAGCGGGGGAUCGAAAGACCUCGCGCGACUGGAGCGGCCGAUGUCAGAUUAGGUAGUUGGUGGGGUAAGGGCCUACCAAGCCUGCGAUCUGUAGCUGGUCUGAGAGGACGACCAGCCACGCUGGGACUGAGACACGGCCCAGACUCCUACGGGAGGCAGCAGUGGGGAAUUUUGGACAAGGGGCGCAAGCCUGAUCCAGCCAUGCCGCGUGCGGGAAGAAGGCCUUCGGGUUGUAAACCGCUUUUGUCGGGGAAGAAACGGCCUGGGCUAAUACCUUGGGCUAAUGACGGUACCCGAAGAAUAAGCACCGGCUAACUACGUGCCAGCCGCCGCGGUAA
rnacentral:rRNA from 1 species